rnacentral:tRNA from 1 species
GCGGGAAUAGCUCAGUUGGUAGAGCACGACCUUGCCAAGGUCGGGGUCGCGAGUUCGAGUCUCGUUUCCCAUC